UACGUAGGGUGCAAGGCGUUGUCCGGAAUUUAUUGGGCGUAAAAGAGCUCGUAGGCGGUCUGUCGCGUCUGCUGUGAAAACUCAGGGCUUAACCCUGAGCUUGCAGUGGGUACGGGCAGGCUAGAGUUCGGUAGGGGGAGACUGGAAUUCCUGGUGUAGCGGUGAAAUGCGCAGAUAUCAGGAGGAACACCGGUGGCGAAGGCGGGUCUCUGGGCCGUAACUGACGCUGAGGAGCGAAAGCAUGGGGAGCGAACAGG
rnacentral:rRNA from 1 species